GGUUAAGCGACUAAGCGUACACGGUGGAUGCCCUGGCAGUCAGAGGCGAUGAAGGACGUGCUAAUCUGCGAUAAGCGUCGGUAAGGUGAUAUGAACCGUUAUAACCGGCGAUUUCCGAAUGGGGAAACCCAGUGUGUUUCGACACACUAUCAUUAACUGAAUCCAUAGGUUAAUGAGGCGAACCGGGGGAACUGAAACAUCUAAGUACCCCGAGGAAAAGAAAUCAACCGAGAUUCCCCCAGUAGCGGCGAGCGAACGGGGAGCAGCCCAGAGCCUGAAUCAGUGUGUGUGUUAGUGGAAGCGUCUGGAAAGGCGCGCGAUACAGGGUGACAGCCCCGUACACAAAAAUGCACAUGCUGUGAGCUCGAUGAGUAGGGCGGGACACGUGGUAUCCUGUCUGAAUAUGGGGGGACCAUCCUCCAAGGCUAAAUACUCCUGACUGACCGAUAGUGAACCAGUACCGUGAGGGAAAGGCGAAAAGAACCCCGGCGAGGGGAGUGAAAAAGAACCUGAAACCGUGUACGUACAAGCAGUGGGAGCACGCUUAGGCGUGUGACUGCGUACCUUUUGUAUAAUGGGUCAGCGACUUAUAUUCUGUAGCAAGGUUAACCGAAUAGGGGAGCCGAAGGGAAACCGAGUCUUAACUGGGCGUUAAGUUGCAGGGUAUAGACCCGAAACCCGGUGAUCUAGCCAUGGGCAGGUUGAAGGUUGGGUAACACUAACUGGAGGACCGAACCGACUAAUGUUGAAAAAUUAGCGGAUGACUUGUGGCUGGGGGUGAAAGGCCAAUCAAACCGGGAGAUAGCUGGUUCUCCCCGAAAGCUAUUUAGGUAGCGCCUCGUGAAUUCAUCUCCGGGGGUAGAGCACUGUUUCGGCAAGGGGGUCAUCCCGACUUACCAACCCGAUGCAAACUGCGAAUACCGGAGAAUGUUAUCACGGGAGACACACGGCGGGUGCUAACGUCCGUCGUGAAGAGGGAAACAACCCAGACCGCCAGCUAAGGUCCCAAAGUCAUGGUUAAGUGGGAAACGAUGUGGGAAGGCCCAGACAGCCAGGAUGUUGGCUUAGAAGCAGCCAUCAUUUAAAGAAAGCGUAAUAGCUCACUGGUCGAGUCGGCCUGCGCGGAAGAUGUAACGGGGCUAAACCAUGCACCGAAGCUGCGGCAGCGACGCUGAUGCGUUGUUGGGUAGGGGAGCGUUCUGUAAGCCUGCGAAGGUGUGCUGUGAGGCAUGCUGGAGGUAUCAGAAGUGCGAAUGCUGACAUAAGUAACGAUAAAGCGGGUGAAAAGCCCGCUCGCCGGAAGACCAAGGGUUCCUGUCCAACGUUAAUCGGGGCAGGGUGAGUCGACCCCUAAGGCGAGGCCGAAAGGCGUAGUCGAUGGGAAACAGGUUAAUAUUCCUGUACUUGGUGUUACUGCGAAGGGGGGACGGAGAAGGCUAUGUUGGCCGGGCGACGGUUGUCCCGGUUUAAGCGUGUAGGCUGGUUUUCCAGGCAAAUCCGGAAAAUCAAGGCUGAGGCGUGAUGACGAGGCACUACGGUGCUGAAGCAACAAAUGCCCUGCUUCCAGGAAAAGCCUCUAAGCAUCAGGUAACAUCAAAUCGUACCCCAAACCGACACAGGUGGUCAGGUAGAGAAUACCAAGGCGCUUGAGAGAACUCGGGUGAAGGAACUAGGCAAAAUGGUGCCGUAACUUCGGGAGAAGGCACGCUGAUAUGUAGGUGAGGUCCCUCGCGGAUGGAGCUGAAAUCAGUCGAAGAUACCAGCUGGCUGCAACUGUUUAUUAAAAACACAGCACUGUGCAAACACGAAAGUGGACGUAUACGGUGUGACGCCUGCCCGGUGUCGGAAGGUUAAUUGAUGGGGUUAGCGCAAGCGAAGCUCUUGAUCGAAGCCCCGGUAAACGGCGGCCGUAACUAUAACGGUCCUAAGGUAGCGAAAUUCCUUGUCGGGUAAGUUCCGACCUGCACGAAUGGCGUAAUGAUGGCCAGGCUGUCUCCACCCGAGACUCAGUGAAAUUGAACUCGCUGUGAAGAUGCAGUGUACCCGCGGCAAGACGGAAAGACCCCGUGAACCUUUACUAUAGCUUGACACUGAACAUUGAGCCUUGAUGUGUAGGAUAGGUGGGAGGCUUUGAAGUGUGGACGCCAGUCUGCAUGGAGCCGACCUUGAAAUACCACCCUUUAAUGUUUGAUGUUCUAACGUUGACCCGUAAUCCGGGUUGCGGACAGUGUCUGGUGGGUAGUUUGACUGGGGCGGUCUCCUCCUAAAGAGUAACGGAGGAGCACGAAGGUUGGCUAAUCCUGGUCGGACAUCAGGAGGUUAGUGCAAUGGCAUAAGCCAGCUUGACUGCGAGCGUGACGGCGCGAGCAGGUGCGAAAGCAGGUCAUAGUGAUCCGGUGGUUCUGAAUGGAAGGGCCAUCGCUCAACGGAUAAAAGGUACUCCGGGGAUAACAGGCUGAUACCGCCCAAGAGUUCAUAUCGACGGCGGUGUUUGGCACCUCGAUGUCGGCUCAUCACAUCCUGGGGCUGAAGUAGGUCCCAAGGGUAUGGCUGUUCGCCAUUUAAAGUGGUACGCGAGCUGGGUUUAGAACGUCGUGAGACAGUUCGGUCCCUAUCUGCCGUGGGCGCUGGAGAACUGAGGGGGGCUGCUCCUAGUACGAGAGGACCGGAGUGGACGCAUCACUGGUGUUCGGGUUGUCAUGCCAAUGGCACUGCCCGGUAGCUAAAUGCGGAAGAGAUAAGUGCUGAAAGCAUCUAAGCACGAAACUUGCCCCGAGAUGAGUUCUCCCUGACCCUUUAAGGGUCCUGAAGGAACGUUGAAGACGACGACGUUGAUAGGCCGGGUGUGUAAGCGCAGCGAUGCGUUGAGCUAACCGGUACUAAUGAACCGUGAGGCUUAACCUU
rnacentral:rRNA from 1 species